rnacentral:rRNA from 1 species
ACGAACGCUGGCGGCGCGCCUAACACAUGCAAGUCGAACGAGCGAGAGAGAGCUUGCUUUCUUGAGCGAGUGGCGAACGGGUGAGUAACGCGUGAGGAACCUGCCUCAAAGAGGGGGACAACAGUUGGAAACGACUGCUAAUACCGCAUAAGCCCACGGUGCCGCAUGGCACAGAGGGAAAAGGAGCAAUCCGCUUUGAGAUGGCCUCGCGUCCGAUUAGCUAGUUGGUGAGGUAACGGCCCACCAAGGCGACGAUCGGUAGCCGGACUGAGAGGUUGAACGGCCACAGUGGGACUGAGACACGGCCCAGACUCCUACGGGAGGCAGCAGUGGGGAAUAUUGCACAAUGGGGGAAACCCUGAUGCAGCGACGCCGCGUGGAGGAAGAAGGUCUUCGGAUUGUAAACUCCUGUUGUUGGGGAAGAUAAUGACGGUACCCAACAAGGAAGUGACGGCUAACUACGUG